rnacentral:sRNA from 1 species
AAAUAAACCUGACAGAGCGGGUAGCCCGCAUCCCGAUUUUUCAUCGGGAGAGGACUACAAGCGAUGGCGGGACUGCAG